ACGCACGCUGGCGGCGUGCUUCACCCCUGCCAGUCGCGCGGAAAGGCCCUUCGGGGUACUCGAGCGGCGAACGGGUGAGUAACACGUGAGUAACCUGCCCCAGACUUUGGGAUAACCCUCGGAAACGGGGGCUAAUACCGGAUACGACACAGCUUCGCAUGGGGUCUGUGUGGAAAGUUUUUCGGUUUGGGAUGGGCUCGCGGCCUAUCAGCUUGUUGGUGGGGUGAUGGCCUACCAAGGCGACGACGGGUAGCCGGCCUGAGAGGGCGACCGGCCACACUGGGACUGAGACACGGCCCAGACUCCUACGGGAGGCAGCAGUGGGGAAUAUUGCACAAUGGGCGGAAGCCUGAUGCAGCGACGCCGCGUGAGGGAUGACGGCCUUCGGGUUGUAAACCUCUUUCAGCAGGGACGAAGCGUAAGUGACGGUACCUGCAGAAGAAGCGCCGGCCAAUUACGUG
rnacentral:rRNA from 1 species